rnacentral:lncRNA from 1 species
AGGAACAUUUGUACUGAUAUCAAUGUCGUUUAGAAGUAUCACUAUCUUUUGCAACAAGUUUAAUCAUAUCAAAUUUUCUUGAUAUAUAUGAUAUGAUGUUCUAUUUAAUUAGUGUGCUUUUUUAUUUUAUUUUUUAUUGUUUCAGUUAUUUUAUUGAGUUUUAAUAUGAAUAUACUCUUUAGGUUAACACCUCUAUUUAUUUUUGGGCAUUAAUCCUCUAAUUCUCUAAAAAAAAGGUUUUGAUAAUCUAAAAUUCAAUUGAG